AUAAGGCGAAUUAGUGGCCACCGCUGAGUUGCAACAGAGAUAGCACAUUGGUGAUAUGAGGAAGUCGUUAGUGUUUAGUUCUGUAGGGCUUCUUUGUUCUAUUGGAUUUUUAUGAAGCAGUCUUUUAACGUUCCCUUGAUUAGGAUUUAUGAGUGUGAAAUUUCAACGAAGGAAGCUCGUUCCCAGAAAUUGAUGGAAGGUAAAAUGAAAAAUAGCAUCAAGGUGGUAGGUUUCCAUGAAUAACUUAUUUUUCAUCUACUCCCCAUUAAUGUAGCUUAUAGUGAAUUUUUUCUUUUUGAUAAAUUGAUGUAAAGUGAAAUGGAAUAUAAAAUGAUGGUGUCAUUCUUUUGAAGGAGUGAUUAUAAGGUAAUUUUAUGUUGUAAUUUUCACAGCAUUGUUCACGCUAUCUAACAUCGUUGAAGAUUGCAGAUCAAUUUUAUUUCUCAUUUUUUACAAAUUAGUUAAUAGUUAAUUAGCUAAAGUUAAAAAUUCAAUCUAUACAUUCAAUUUAGAUCUCAAAAUUUGAAUGUUUUUAGUGGUAGAAAUUAAAUUAGAUAUUUUUCGUUAACAAAAGAAAGACUUGAAAUGAUAAGGAAGGAAAUAAAAUAGUAAUAUCGAUAAGAGAAUUGUAAAAGAGAAAUCACUUGAAAUUUGAAAGUUUCCAAAAUUUACAAUGUUGAGCAGUAAUAUGUUAAAUUGUAAUGCAACGUCAUUAAAUAUUCAACAAACGUCGAUGACAUGGUCAUCAUAUGCUUACGAAUCUGUCACGGUAUAAUCAAAUAUUAUUCAAUGUCAUGGAACGUGACUGACAUGCGAACGUUUUAUUACAUGUGUAUUAGGACAUUCAUGGAACGAUGAAUUAUGUUUUGAAUGCACCGUAAUAGUCUCUUAAAUCAAAGUUAAUCUUUUGAUAAAGAAAGGCAAUAUCCUCUUUUGAUUGGGUUGUCCGUUUGCAAAAAUCGUCCUAGAUAUUGGAAACUCAUCGCAAACAAAAGUUUAAUGAAAGCCAUGAAUCAGCCUGACAGAAAUCACAGAAGCUCGAUCAGAUGCUCGAGAUUCUUCGCGAAGAACGAACUUUACGCAAACAGGAUAACCCUAUGUAAUGGAAUGGUAAUUGAACAGGAAUCAGUUUUCCUCUGCCUACAGCUUCGUCAAGACGGAGAAUAAAUUAUACGUUAAUCGUGUUUAAAAACAACAUUCGUAAAAACGAGUUUCUACACUAACAAAUUGCUUAACAAUGCUCACCAUUACUUGGAUUUCUUUCCUUUGUUGAAGAAAAAUUACAACAAUCAGGUUAAGUAAUCAUUUUAGAAUAUUUAGAUUAGAAGGCUAUUUAGAGAUCUAACGAAUUCUCUUAUCUUCCAUACUUUUCCCUAAAGAAAAAAUAUGUGACUUUAAUCUAUAUCUUUUAUAUUCCAAAGGAUUAUAUUUUCAUCCAAUAAUCUUAUAAAUAUAUUGCAGAUAUUUAGAAAUAGAUGUGAAGAGUCGUAAAUAACAAUUAGGAACGGCAAUAAAAGAAUUGAAAAAUAACUAAGAUAUGCUACUAUAAGAAAAUAAUAAUAGGAAUACAAACUAUUAAAAAAGGUUAAACGUAAGUAAAAUCUCACAGUUCUUCGUUAGUCUAUACUAUUGUUCUCCACUUCCGUAAUUGUUAUUUGCCCGCAUAUUUCAAUUACACGCGCAACGAGCGCGUGACGCAAUGCGAAUUAAAAUUCCAAGUCGAAGGUUUCACGUUACGUGAUCCACUUUUCGAUGAACAUCGGACGAAUUUCGUUACCCAAGCAAAUUUUGCUGAAAAAGGGUGUAACAGUCGAAUCAAUUUCACACAAGGAAGUUAGAGUUUAGCAUUGUUACGCGACUGACCUUUAUCGUUACGUUCCGUCUGUUUGAGUUUCUCACGGGGUGUGUAUUUUGUAUUCUGAACGCUAGAGCGUGUGUUUGUGUUGUAUCGCUAGAACUGCCAACCUAUAAUGUGUACCUAAAUAUGUUAUACAUAGUUAAUUAAAAUUAAGGCAAUAUGAUAAUAACAUAUAAGUAUAUAUAUUCAAGUUCCUGUACCAAUAACAAUAAACUUUAAUAUUAUCAAAAAUA